rnacentral:lncRNA from 1 species
CACACCUGGGGCCGCCUGCGAGGUGAUCGCGGCCAGCGUGGGGACAAAGGCCAGCCAGGUGAGCCAAAAACACACCUGGACACACCUGGGGACAUCAAAAACACACCUGGUACACACCUGGGGACACCUGGGGACACCUGGGGACACCUGAGAUACACACAGACACACCUGGGGACACCUGGGGACACACACAGACACACCUGGGGCCGCCUGCGAGGUGAUCGCGGCCAGCGUGGGGACAAAGGCCAGCCAGGAGUCCCUGCGCACGGCCCUGGCCGUGGGCGCUGACCGGGCGGUGCUGGCCGAGGUGGGGGAGGGGGUGGCCGUGGGGCCCCGUGAGGUGGCCACGGCGCUGGCGGCGCUGGCCGGGCGCCUGCAGCCACACCUGGUGCUGCUGGGCAAACAGGUGAGCGCCUAUGGAACACCUGGGGACCCUAUAGAACACCUGGGGACACCUGGGGGACCCUAUAGAACACCUGGGGACACCUGGGGACCCUAUAGAACACCUGGGGACACCUGGGGACACCUGGGGGACCCUAUAGAACACCUGGGGGACCCUAUAGAACAUCUAUAGAGCACCUAUAGAACACCUAUGGAACACCCGGGGGACCCUAUAGAGCACCUGGGGAUCCUAUAGAACACCUAUAGAGCACCUGGGGAUCCUAUAGAACACCUGGGGGACCCUAUAGAACACCUGGGGGACCCUAUAGAGCACCUGGGGGACCCUAUAGAACACCUGGGGAUCCUAUAGAGCACCUAUAGAGCACCCGGGGGACCCUAUAGAACACCUAUAGAACACCUGGGGGACCCUAUAGAGCACCUGGGGAUCCUAUAGAGCACCUGGGGGACCCUAUAGAACACCUAUAGAGCACCUGGGGAUCCUAUAGAACACCUACAGAACACCUGGGGGACCCUAUAGAACACCUGCAGAACACCUGGGGAUCCUAUAGAGCACCUGGGGAUCCUAUAGAACAUCUAUAGAGCACCUGGGGACACCUGGGGAUCCUAUGGAACACCUGGGGGACACCUGGGGGAUCCUAUAGAGCACCUGGGGGACCCUAUAGAACACCUGGGGAUCCUAUAGAGCACCUGGGGGACACCUGGGGGACCCUAUAGAGCACCUGGGGAUCCUAUAGAGCACCUAUAGAGCACCUGGGGAUCCUAUAGAACACCUGGGGAUCCUAUAGAACACCUAUAGAACACCUGGGGAUCCUA